rnacentral:misc_RNA from 1 species
UGAUGUCAGGGUCAAAAGGUCAAAAUCCGAUUGUGCUUGCACAAAGAGGAUUGAGACCUUGGGACCCUGACAUCAUUAUAUUAGAGCAACAAAAAAAGGGUGUGAAAAAGAUUUCUCUUUUUCACAGCCCUUA